rnacentral:rRNA from 1 species
UACGUAGGGGGCAAGCGUUGUCCGGAAUCAUUGGGCGUAAAGAGCGUGUAGGCGGCCCGGUAAGUCCGCCGUGAAAGUCCAGGGCUCAACCCUGGAAUGCCGGUGGAAACUGCCGGGCUGGAGUCCGGAAGAGGCGAGUGGAAUUCCUGGUGUAGCGGUGAAAUGCGCAGAUAUCAGGAGGAACACCAAUAGCGAAGGCAGCUCGCUGGGACGGUACUGACGCUAAGGCGCGAAAGCGUGGGGAGCGAACAGG